rnacentral:rRNA from 1 species
ACCCGCUGAACUUAAGCAUAUCAAUAAGCGGAGGAAAAGAAACCAACAGGGAUUGCCCUAGUAACGGCGAGUGAAGCGGCAACAGCUCAAAUUUGAAAUCUGGCCUCUUUUGGGGUCCGAGUUGUAAUUUGCAGAGGGCGCUUUGGCGUUGGCAGCGGUCCAAGUUCCUUGGAACAGGACGUCACAGAGGGUGAGAAUCCCGUACGUGGUCGCUGGCCUUCGCCGUGUAAAGCCCCUUCGACGAGUCGAGUUGUUUGGGAAUGCAGCUCUAAAUGGGAGGUAAAUUUCUUCUAAAGCUAAAUACUGGCCAGAGACCGAUAGCGCACAAGUAGAGUGAUCGAAAGAUGAAAAGCACUUUGGAAAGAGAGUCAAACAGCACGUGAAAUUGUUGAAAGGGAAGCGCUUGCAGCCAGACUUGCCUGUAGUUGCUCAUCCGGGCUUCUGCCCGGUGCACUCUUCUAUAGGCAGGCCAGCAUCAGUUUGGGCGGUUAGAUAAAGGUCUCUGUCACGUACCUCUCUUCGGGGAGGACUUAUAGGGGAGGCGACAUGUAACCAGCCCAGAUUGAGGUCCGCGCAUUUGCUAGGAUGCUGGCGUAAUGGCUGU